CCUACGGGAGGCUGCAGUAGGGAAUUUUGCGCAAUGGGCGAAAGCCUGACGCAGCAACACCGCGUGAAUGUUAAGCCCUUCGGGGAGUAAAGUUCUGUCAAUAGGGACGACUUUGGACUGUACCCAUAAAGGAAGCACCGGCUAACUCCGUGCCAGCAGCCGCGGUAAUACGGGGGGUGCAGGCGUUGUCCGGAAUCAUCUGGCGUAAAGCGUUCGUAGGCGGCAAGGUAAGUCUGAUGGUAAAGCCCGGGGCUCAACUCCGGUUCGGCAUUGGAUACUAUCUAGCUAGAAUGUGGUAGAGGUAGAGGGAAUGCGUGGUGUAGCGGUGAAAUGCGUAGAUAUCAGGAGGAACAUCGGUGGCGAAGGCGCUUUACUGGACCAUUAUUGACGCUGAGGAACGAAAGCGAGGGGAGCGAAUGGGAUUAGAUACCCCUGUAGUC
rnacentral:rRNA from 1 species